AUACGGAGGGUGCAAGCGUUACUCGGAAUCACUGGGCGUAAAGGACGCGUAGGCGGGUUGGUAAGUCAGGUGUGAAAUCCUACAGCUUAACUGUAGAACUGCACUUGAAACUACCAACCUUGAGUAUGGGAGGGGGAGAUGGAAUUAGUGGUGUAGGGGUAAAAUCCGUAGAUAUCACUAGGAAUACCGAAAGCGAAGGCGAUCUCCUGGAACAUAACUGACGCUAAGGCGUGAAAGCGUGGGGAGCAAACAGGAUUAGAAACCCUAGUAGUCC
rnacentral:rRNA from 1 species